CUCUCGCGCCUCUCCCUCCACACCUCCCCGCAAGCUGAGGGAGUGGGCUCCGGCCUUGGCCAGCCCAGAAAGGGGCUCCCACCGUGCAGCGGUGGGCUGAAGGGCUCCUCAAGUGCCACCAAAAUAAGAGCCCAGGCAGAGGAGGCGCUGAGAGCGAGCGAGGGAUGUGAGGACUGCCAGCACGCUGUCACCUCUCAUUAGGAUGAAACUGGUUCCAGACGUGAGAGUUUUAUUCCAAUAUGGCUUCCAGGAUCCCAGAGGACUCGACUUGUAGAGAGCAUCACUGGAGUCAGAAGGGCCGAGGUCCAGGGGCCAAGAACACACCUUGGUGCCAGAAGAAGUUCAUAAGUCUUGAAAUGCAGCAUCUCCUGAGGUAGAAUCAUUGGGCAGAACUCAUGAUAACAGAGCCUUCAAGAUGCGGAGUGAGGACAGGUGUGGGGGCUCACGCCUGUAAUCCCAACACUUUGGGAGGCCAAGGCGGUUGGAUCACCUAAGGUCAGGAGUUCAAGACCAGCCUGGCCAACAUGGUGAAAUCCCGUUUUUACUAAAAAUACGAAGAAUUAGCUGGAUGUGGUGACGCCUGCCUGUAAUCCCAGCUACUUGGGAGGCUGAGGCAGGAAAAUCACUUGAACCUGGGAGGUAGAGGUUGCAGUGAGCUGAGAUUGCACCACUGCACUUCAGCCUGGGCAACAGAGUGAGACUCCGUCUCAAAAAAACAAAAACAAAAACAAAAGAUGGUGAGCGAGUAAGAGCAAUAAAAAUAUUUGAAUGUGUGACUCCUAC
rnacentral:lncRNA from 1 species